AAACACUGAUGUCAACUUGCGGAUCUCCUGUUGAAUAAGUUCCUGGCAUGGAAAGAAUUGCGGUUCUUGGGAGAGUUAAGGAAGGAAGCAUUCUUUUUUCUGGGUGAAAAGAUCUUGCAGUCAUUUUGAAGCUGAAAGUCAUGUAGCAGCAGCCUAAGCCAUCCCCCACUGUGGUUCAGAUGUGCUUGGGCCUGUUUGAUUGAUUGAGCUGCCGGAAACUGAUUUUUAAGAGGCACCAAUGAGCUUGGGAGAAAUAAUUUAUUUAAGGAAAGAGAGCCUGCAACAGGAAAGCUUGUUAAGGCUUCUGAUGAGAGGCACAGUUCUGAAUACACUGGACACCCAAACCUGAAUCUUGUCUUCAUGCACUCAUGGCUGAAUCGCAGAAGAGAAAGACCUGUGUGUAAAAUCUUAAAGCACAAUUUUCAUUAAAAACUCGAAGAUCUUGGGUGCACAGUAGCCCUGCCUCAGUAAUCUGCUCAUACAGAUAUAUUACAAAAAGGAAGAAAAGCUGUCUCUCUUUGUGACUCACAGGAUUUUCAUCUCCAUGUUAGUAUACAGAAGGCCCCUAGGUGUCGGGAGUGGGGGCAGGGGUAAGGGGUGGUUGAGACAUUGGAGACAGCCUUGAAACUCCUGCACAUGGCUGUAAGGAGUGUAGGCCGGGGCAGUUGACAUUGCUGAAGAGGGACUGAGCAAAGAAGACGGUGUUGGUAGGCCGUGGUGGUCUCGAUGUUUGUUUGUGAACCCGGGUGA